CAGCCGCCGCGGGAAUACGUAGGUGGCAAGCGUUGUCCGGAAUUAUCGGGCGUAAAGGGCUCGCAGGCGGUUUCUUAAGUCUGAUGUGAAAGCCCCCGGCUCAACCGGGGAGGGUCAUUGGAAACUGGGAAACUUGAGUGCAGAAGAGGAGAGUGGAAUUCCACGUGUGGCGGUGAAAUGCGUAGAGAUGUGGAGGAACACCAGUGGCGAAGGCGACUCUCUGGUCUGUAACUGACGCUGAGGAGCGAAAGCGUGGGGAGCGAACAGGAUUAGAUACCCGCGUAGUCCCUGUCUCUUAUAC
rnacentral:rRNA from 1 species